rnacentral:lncRNA from 1 species
CCGAUCAUAUGGACCUAAGUCAUUGAACCUCAACCCAUCCGUAUUAAAUCAACACUUUGACUCUAAACCCAUUUAACCCAAUCUAAUCUAAACCCAUUAACCUUAACCUCACUCAAAAUCCAUUAACCGUUACCUAUAACCCAAACCUAUAACCCAAUCCAAUUAAACCUUAGCCCAAUUCUAAAUCCAUAACCUAUAACCCAAUCCAAUUAAAUCUAGGCCUAGUCCAAAGCCCAGAGCCCAUUUACAAAUGGCCCCAGUCCAAAACCCAUUUGGGCCCACUAUCUAAACCCAUUAUCCAAAACUCAUUAAAACCAUUAACCCAUAAACCCAUAUACAUAAACCUAUAUACAUUUACCCAUGAACCCAUACACAUUUAACCCAUAUUCAAGCCCAUAACCUUAACCAAGUCCAUGAACUUUGAACCAAAACCAUGGACCAAACCAUACACCAAAUCCUGUGGACCAUACCAUACACCAAAUCCACGAACUAUGAAUCAAGUUCAUGAAUCAAAUCAAGUUCAUGAGCCAAGGAUCAUAAACCACAACCCAUCUACCAAGUCCAUGAACCAUAAACCCAUACACCAAGUUCAUGAACCAUAAGUCCAUGAACCAUAAACCCAUGAACCAUAAGUUCAUGAACCAUAAACCCAUGAACCAUAAACCCAUGAACCAUAUCCAAGUUCAUGAACCAUAAUCCCAUAUACCCAAUACCAUAAACCUUGUGAACUAAAUCAAUCGAUCGACCGAAACGUCGUUAAACUAAUCCACCAAAUCAAUCGACCGAAAUGUCGUUAAACUAAACUCAAAUUCAAUUUUCACGAACAUCCCAAUUCCCAAAAUAUUCGAUUCUCUAGCAUAUAAAAUUAGAGUCAAAUCACAAUCAUGUUCA